AUUGAACGCUGGCGGCAUGCCUUACACAUGCAAGUCGAACGGCAGCACGGGUGCUUGCACCUGGUGGCGAGUGGCGAACGGGUGAGUAAUACAUCGGAACGUACCUUAUCGUGGGGGAUAACGCAGCGAAAGCUGUGCUAAUACCGCAUACGCCCUGAGGGGGAAAGCGGGGGAUCGAAAGACCUCGCGCGAUUAGAGCGGCCGAUGCCUGAUUAGCUUGUUGGUGGGGUAAAAGCCCACCAAGGCGACGAUCAGUAGCUGGUCUGAGAGGACGAUCAGCCACACUGGGACUGAGACACGGCCCAGACUCCUACGGGAGGCAGCAGUGGGGAAUUUUGGACAAUGGGGGCAACCCUGAUCCAGCAAUGCCGCGUGAGGGAGGAAGGCCUUCGGGGUGUAAAGCUCUUUUGUCAGGGAAGAAACACCGGCUCUAACACAGUCCGGGAAUGACGGUACCUGAAGAAUAAGCACCGGCUAACUACGUGCCAGCCGCCGCAGUAA
rnacentral:rRNA from 1 species